GAUGAACGCUGGCGGCGUGCUUAACACAUGCAAGUCGAACGAUGAAACCCACUUGUGGGUGGAUUAGUGGCGAACGGGUGAGUAACACGUGAGUAACCUGCCCUUGACUCUGGGAUAAGCCUGGGAAACUGGGUCUAAUACCGGAUAUGACCUUCCAUCGCAUGGUGGUUGGUGGAAAGCUUUUGUGGUUUUGGAUGGACUCGCGGCCUAUCAGCUUGUUGGUGGGGUAAUGGCCUACCAAGGCGACGACGGGUAGCCGGCCUGAGAGGGUGACCGGCCACACUGGGACUGAGACACGGCCCAGACUCCUACGGGAGGCAGCAGUGGGGAAUAUUGCACAAUGGGCGGAAGCCUGAUGCAGCGACGCCGCGUGAGGGAUGACGGCCUUCGGGUUGUAAACCUCUUUCAGUAGGGAAGAAGCGAGAGUGACGGUACCUGCAGAAGAAGCGCCGGCUAACUACGUGCCAGCAGCCGCAGUAACAC
rnacentral:rRNA from 1 species